CAAUAGCGUAUAUUAAAGUUGUUGCAGUUAAAAAGCUCGUAGUUGGAUUUCUGGUUGAAGCGACCGGUCGGGCGUUGAUUCGUCUGCACUGGAGUCGGUUUUGGCCAUCCUCUAGGAAAGUGCGUCUGGUAUUAAGUUAUCGGGCGUAUGAUCCUGGUCUUUUACUGUGAAAAAAUUAGAGUGUUUAAAGCAGGCCUUCGACUUGAAUACAUUAGCAUGGAAUAAUAAGAUAGGACUUUGGUCUAUUUUGUUGGUUUGCAGACCGAAGUAAUGAUUAAUAGGGAUAGUUGGGGGUAUUUAUAUUCCGAUGUCAGAGGUGAAAUUCUUAGAUUUUCGGAAGAUAAACUUAUGCGAAAGCAUUUACCAAGGAUGUUUUCAUUAA
rnacentral:rRNA from 1 species